rnacentral:rRNA from 1 species
AUUGAACGCUGGCGGCGUGCUUAACACAUGCAAGUCGAUCGGUAACAGGUGUAGCAAUACAUGCUGACGAGAGGCGGACGGGUGAGUAAUGCUUGGGAAUCUGCCUAUUAGUGGGGGACAACCCGGGGAAACUCGGGCUAAUACCGCAUACGCUCUACGGAGGAAAGCCGGGGACCGCAAGGCCUGGCGCUAAUAGAUGAGCCCAAGUCGGAUUAGCUAGUUGGUAGGAACGGCCUACCAAGGCGACAAUCCGUAGCUGGUCUGAGAGGACGACCAGCCACACCGGAACUGAGACACGGUCCGGACUCCUACGGGAGGCAGCAGUGGGGAAUAUUGGACAAUGGGGCAACCCUGAUCCAGCGACGCCGCGUGGGU